rnacentral:misc_RNA from 1 species
UCGACUUGCAUGUGUUAAGCAUAACGCUUAAUGAUUGAUCUACCAGAUGCUGCAACCUAUAUUUUAGAAUCAUACAUAUGAGCUUCUCAAGUAAGCUUUAAUCACUUUCUUUCUAUAUGUAAAUAGUUAUUUAGAACCAUCCUUAUCCAUAUCUUAUUUCCGAAUGAAGAUAAGCAGAUAUCCGGUCUUACCUAGUACUCUCGCAUAUCGGUUGCACUCAACGAUCAAUGUAACUCUUACUUAUUUAUUUUCUUAGGAAAAUACCCCAUUCCGAGCACCCCCUCUACCCACUUCCCCGCAUGGUGAAUCGGACUCUGUUAUAUACGCAAUUCAUUCCAUCGAUCUGUAAGCAAUUUCGCUACUUCGAAAAAUCGCUUUUGCACUUGACAAAAAUGCCCCUCUUCUCCCCUACUCCCCUCUCUUGCUUUCCUCGCCUUCUCCCAUCCCAAUUAUGCCAGCCUAUUUUCUCGUUAAUAAUGUUACAAGCAACAACGAGCAAACGAAAUACGAGAUUAUGCUAGCAGAAAAGCUCAAACCAAAAGCAAUAGACUUUUUCGAAUGUAUACUCGUUUGAGCCGCCGAAUGGCCCAGGAAAAAGCGAAAAAUAAGGAAUUGCGCCGGACAAUUAUGGAGCGGCUGUUUGGAGAAGACUCGGAGGACUGAAACGCGGAAACUUGACUUGGUCUUAAAUCACGAACAUGGGAAGAGAGAUUGGAUUUCAUCGAUGAAGAAUGGCUUUCACCGCGGAAGGACAAACUGCGGUACGGAGAGACCGCUACAGCUCGGGUGGGGUAUUCACUAUGCAUAGGACACUAAUAAGGUAAAAAGAAAGGAUCCGGGUUGACGGAAGAUGAUUUUUACAGGUACCAUUUACCACGUAAGGAAAACCUGUGGUUCGAAUCCGCAGCGUGGUUAGCCAACGAAAGGUUACACCAGCAGAUAGAAUGCUACUUCUUUCUGGUCUUACCACUUACCCAUUACUUAGAUUAUUGACUUCACAAAGCGGGAAGGACAUCAAUCAACAUCAUUUCUCGGGCAGUUGAUUGACUAGUUCCUGCAUCUCGGAGUUGAGGAAGCUAGCCCCGACUAUCUACUUAGUCUUUCUUCUUAGGACUCUGGG